rnacentral:rRNA from 1 species
UGGAGGAAAGUAGGGGAUCGCAAGACCUUGCGCUUUUGGAGCGGCCGAUGUCUGAUUAGCUAGUUGGUGGGGUAAAGGCCUACCAAGGCGACGAUCAGUAGUUGGUCUGAGAGGACGACCAGCCACACUGGGACUGAGACACGGCCCAGACUCCUACGGGAGGCAGCAGUGGGGAAUUUUGGACAAUGGGCGCAAGCCUGAUCCAGCAAUGCCGCGUGAGUGAAGAAGGCCUUCGGGUUGUAAAGCUCUUUCAGUCGAGAAGAAAAGGCUGUGGUAAAUAAUCGCAGCUCAUGACGGUAUCGACAGAAGAAGCACCGGCUAACUACGUGCCAGCAGCCGCGGUAAUACGUAGGGUGCAAGCGUUAAUCGGAAUUACUGGGCGUAAAGGGUGCGCAGGCGGUUUUGUAAGUCAGAUGUGAAAUCCCCGGGCUUAACCUGGGAAUUGCGUUUGAAACUACAAAGCUAG